rnacentral:sRNA from 1 species
GCCAGGCAUGAUGGCGCAUGCCUGUAAUCCCAGCAACUCGGGAGGCUGAGACAGGAGGAUUGUGAGUUUAAAGCCAGCUUCAGCAAAAGCGAGGCCCUAAGCAACUCAGUGAGACCCUGUCUCUA